GCGUUCCAGAAAGGACCCAGCGCUCUUCUGGUGGGCCAAGUCCAGAGAGGCCAGUUUGGGAGCCUCAUGUCCCUCGGUCCCCGGUGGAGCCCGUGACGCCCUACCCCGAGAAAACGAAGCUUUGCUUAGGCUACGCUGAUAGUUUAUAACCGUGUGAUUCUUAUUAGCAGUUCAUUUGUAAUUAUGCCUUAAAAUGAUGGCAGUACCUCCUACCUGUAGCCUCUCAAACGAUUAGCACAAAAUGUCAGGGUAGAACUGGGGCUUGCAAAUACGGCUUCUAAGUAGAUCAUGUGUAAGUAGGGCUGGAAAUUCGAAAGUGGCUCAAGGUGAAAGAAGGUCACCGCAAGCAAGCUGCGCAGGACCUGGAGGACGACAGGUGCCUGCUGCUCUGGAUUGCCUUGGUCUGUUACCUUGCUGGAAUGCAGGGAUUUCCUCUCGUCACA